rnacentral:rRNA from 1 species
UACGUAGGGGGCAAGCGUUAUCCGGAUUUACUGGGUGUAAAGGGGGCGCAGACGGCAGCGCAAGCCAGGAGUGAAAGCCCGGGGCCCAACCCCGGGACUGCUCUUGGAACUGCGCGGCUGGAGUGCAGGAGGGGCAGGCGGAAUUCCUGGUGUAGCGGUGAAAUGCGUAGAUAUCAGGAGGAACACCGGUGGCGAAGGCGGCCUGCUGGACUGCGACUGACGUUGGGGCCCGAAAGCGUGGGGAGCAAACAGG